AUGCCCACGGUAUUCUCAGACACGUACGGCGUUAUACAGUUGGAGCGAGAUGAAAACAGUUUUCACACUAUACAUCACACCUAAAACUAAGCGAUCCCAAUGAUGACCGAUCUAGUUGGAGUAGGGCUUCGCAGCUGUCUCUCAUCCAACAAACUGGCAGCUCUAAGUCUCAUCUCAGGUAUCUUACGUCUCCACCACCAACUUCUCAGACAAGCCAUGAGUCUCGCACCCUGAGUCUUACAGCGACGAACAAUGCUACUCUUUUUGGACCCCAAGGCGGAGCUGGAGACACC